UAAAGGUCCGAAGGUACUGAGUCAUCUCAAUUGAUUAUUCACAGUCAGUUACAGAUCGAACUCCUUGUUCUACUCUUUCCCCCUUCUCACUACUGUGCUUGACUAGUC
rnacentral:Y_RNA from 1 species